AAUAUACUAUUGCUGAAUUUCCAUGUACGCAUACAUGGAAUACGGGGGAACCAAUUAUUAGGGGUGAAUCUAAACGAAAGUUUAGUAGGGCAAUUUCCUUUCUGUCCGAAUCCGUCAGCUAACCUCGGAAGCUUCGAAGGGAAGGAGG
rnacentral:sRNA from 2 species